rnacentral:tRNA from 1 species
GUCCCUGUAGUUCAAUGGAUAGAACGGAUCCCUCCUAAGGAUCAGAUGGAGGUUCGACUCCUCCCGGGGACA